ensembl:lncRNA
AACUGGCCCAGUGUGACAUCUAGUUAGGUUAGAUUCUCCAGGGGCCCCACACACAGCUGGGGGUCCACCCAAGAGGCAAAAAAACCAAAAAAAAACCUACCUAACGAUAUCAUGGGUAGAAUGCAGAAGUGUGUACUUCACCUGAUUCUUUCUCUUCUACACCAGUGAGAUUAGUGGCCUCUUCCAAACUUGGAUAACGAUUGCAGUGACGGCGGAGACGGAGGAGCGUGUGUGGAAUGGAGCAGCUGUUCCUGAGUGACUGGUGCCGAGAAGCGUCAAAAGAGUUGCUAAAACAAAAUAAAACUAACUCAUACGUGCAUGAAAUCCUGUGUGUGUGUUGGCUCCUCAUCACACACUUGAACAUAGGACCUGUUGCACCUCACAAUAAAAGAAACG